UUUUUUGUUUCCCAUGCGACUUUCCCCAAUAGUGGCAUCAUGAGCUAGGUUCAUCCGUAGAUGAUAUCUCGAGUAGGACACAAAAGAGUUUGUGUGUGUUGAUGUUCAAUUUGCUACCCUCCUUAGUCUUUUCUUUAUUCAGCGGUAUUGUUGGAUUCAAGCAGCCCGGACCAACAUUACUCACACGCUUACGAGAGAC
rnacentral:lncRNA from 1 species